UUCCUGUGUGCCCUGUCUUAGGGUGGAAAUUGUCUUCCCGCAUGCCCUGUCUUAGGGAACCAUGAGAGUGUUCUCCAGGGAAGAGGGGAUCUGUAAAGUAGAAGACAGAACUCAGAGAAUGUAGGAAUUCAACAGGAAGAUCCCAAGUUCUGUUUCUAAAGUAAUGUUGAAGGGUACGCUUUGUGACAGCUGGGAAGGAAGGCAAGGAGUCCAAAGCUCCAGUGGUUCCAGGGGAGGGUCUUCAGGAAGAAAACUGACAGACCACAAGUUCUGAAGAGAACUAUGGGAGGACAAAAUAAGAGCAUAAAAAGAGGACAUUAACCUUCCCUGGAGCUGUUUCUCAAUUCUGUGCACCUGUGAGAACUUCACACACACCAUGACUCCGGUAUGCUUUCCUGCUAAAAACACUAAUAAGGGCAAAUGAGAUGCGCAGCUGAUGAAGACACUCGCCACCAAGCCUAGCAACCUGAAUUGAAUCCCCAGGACCCACACACUGGAAGGAGGGGACUGACUCCCUCAAGUUGUCUUCUGAACGACACACACACACAAACACACACACACACACACACACACACACACACACACAGGGUCGGGGGAGAGAGAGAAAUAAUUUAUUUCUGAAAAGAACUACCAAUUAGACAAGCUAAUUCUGAUCUCUAAAUACUAUAGUAAAAUGCGGAAACAAGGACACUCUACAAAGAACCUCUCUGCCCCUGCCCCUGCCUCUGCCUCAGCCUCAAUGCUUUACAUGUGAUACAUGUUAAAUGUUGUAAGCAAGAUGACGUGAACAGCACACUACCUCGCAGUCCCAAGAAGGAAGUGCUCUUGACUAAGAGUACUCUUUGAAGUCUUCCAAAAGAAAGAAGGAAUUUAUGUUGGCUUUCCUUUGAAAUGAAUGUUUCCUGUAAAGUUUGGACAGCAGUUCCUGAUGCAGAGAGGGCAACAAGAUAGAAGGCAAAGCCCCGUGUGCCACGCAGUGGCUAAAAACUGGAGAGAGCUGUUUAUUCCCUCGGUUCUUCACACCCAGGGCCUUUGGAGUUUCCUGCCUCCUUUGAUCAUUCUUGAUGCCGAGACUCAAAGAGGCAAAAGAUGUCUUCAUCAAAGGCAGACUACUGUGUGCUGUGAGCCUGUCGUCAGCCAUCGCGAGAGGUUACUCUACAGGGCACACAUGUCCCCAAGGGGGUCAAUGGUGUCCUUCAAAACUCCUUGCUUAUUUACAAGCUCAAAAUGUGACCCUAUUUGGAAAUAAUGUCUCUGCAGAUAUAAUCAGUUAAUGAUCUUAUGAUGCCCCUCGAUUUAGGGACAGUCCUAAAUCCAAUGUCUAGUGCCCUUGUUGAAAAACAGAAAAAGAGGACAAAGACAUGACAAAGGACAUGUGGAAGCAGAGGCAAGGAUUGUGUUUGUCUACUAUAAAACUGUGAUUUAUAGUAAGAUUUAUUAUAUGUUAUAUUGGCCUUUCUCUCCAGUUUCCAGCAGAAGGCUUCUAAAGUCCCUGUCCAUUCCUGAGCAAUAGGGACUGAGGGAGAGUAUUUUUUCUAAUAUUUGGUCUUUGACCUUGGCUCCUGAAACAGAGUUCCCAGUCCUAGGGAAUGUUCUACAUCAUGGGAGCGUCUUUUGUCCUAGUGAAAUAUUCAUGAUAGAUCCUCAGAUAGCAAUUGUAGCUUUCUAGAGGUUCUCUGGUGUUGAGCACAUUCAUAUGCUGAGAAACUGCCACACCCCUACUCCACAGGGACAGAAACCCUGCAGUCAGACCCUGGAGACCUCAUUCUGUGUAUCUUUUCAUGUGGCUGUAAGUCUAGGUUCUGUAUCAUAUUCCUAUUGAGAUAAUAAACUAAGAAACAGAAAAGGU